rnacentral:rRNA from 1 species
GCUCUGGGUCCAACCUCCCACCCGUGUUUAUUUUACCUUGUUGCUUCGGCGGGCCCGCCUUAACUGGCCGCCGGGGGGCUUACGCCCCCGGGCCCGCGCCCGCCGAAGACACCCUCGAACUCUGUCUGAAGAUUGUAGUCUGAGUGAAAAUAUAAAUUAUUUAAAACUUUCAACAACGGAUCUCUUGGUUCCGGCAUCGAUGAAGAACGCAGCGAAAUGCGAUACGUAAUGUGAAUUGCAAAUUCAGUGAAUCAUCGAGUCUUUGAACGCACAUUGCGCCCCCUGGUAUUCCGGGGGGCAUGCCUGUCCGAGCGUCAUUGCUGCCCUCAAGCACGGCUUGUGUGUUGGGCCCCGUCCUCCGAUCCCGGGGGACGGGCCCGAAAGGCAGCGGCGGCACCGCGUCCGGUCCUCGAGCGUAUGGGGCUUUGUCACCCGCUCUGUAGGCCCGGCCGGCGCUUGCCGAUCAACCCAAAUUUUUAUCCAGGUUGACCUCGGAUCAGGUAGGGAUACCCGCUGAACUUAAGCAUAUCAAUAAGCGGAGGAA